rnacentral:rRNA from 1 species
CUUGAACGCUGGCGUCAGGCUUAACACAUGCAAGUCGAGCGGCGAUGAGGUGCUUGCACCUUAUCUUAGCGGCGGACGGGUGAGUAAUGCUUAGGAAUCUGCCUAUUAGUGGGGGACAACAUUCCGAAAGGAAUGCUAAUACCGCAUACGUCCUACGGGAGAAAGCAGGGGAUCUUCGGACCUUGCGCUAAUAGAUGAGCCUAAGGCGGAUUAGCUAGUUGGUGGGGUAAAGGCCUACCAAGGCGACGAUCUGUAGCGGGUCUGAGAGGCUGGUCGGCCAGACUGGGACUGAGACACAGCCCAGACUCCUAGGGGCGGCAGCGGUGGGGCAUGGUGGACAAUGGGGGGAACCCUGGUCCAGCCAUGCCGCGUGUGUGAAGAAGGCCUUAUGGUUGUAAGGCACUUUAAGCGUGGAGGAGGCUAGUGAGACUAAUACUCUUGGAUAGUGGACGUUACUCGCAGAAGAAGCACCGGCUAACUCUGUGCCAGCCGCCGCUGGAAGAC